CGCGAAGAGGUCUAUACUGAAAGGACCCCAGAGCCGAGAGAGGCGCUGAAAAAUCAUUGGGUGGAGGUGCCAGUCCCCCGCGUCCCGAAGGUAUCGGGAGUUCCAGUCCGCCAUUGUAUUGUCCUGCCCCGGAAUGUACUCCGCUAUUACUGAAAUGCUGUUUCUCAGGCAAUAGUGCCAAAAAUCUCGAGCCAUCAAAGCGAGAACCUUCGAUUUCGUCCCCCCUAGGUGGUUGAUAUAACGCACCGCUGAGACGUUGUCCAUCUUGAUUAAAAUUUAACAUGAAAUGCCUGUGGG